GGGCGCGUAGCUCAGCUGGUCAGAGCAUCCGGUUUACACCCGGGAGGUCGCCCGUUCGAAUCGGGCCGCGCCCA
rnacentral:tRNA from 1 species